rnacentral:rRNA from 1 species
AUUGAACGCUGGCGGCAGGCCUAACACAUGCAAGUCGAACGAGUGGCGGACGGGUGAGUAAUGUCUGGGAAACUGCCUGAUGGAGGGGGAUAACUACUGGAAACGGUAGCUAAUACCGCAUACCAUCAGAUGUGCCCAGAUGUGAUUAGCUAGUUGGUGGGUUAACGGCUCACCAAGGCGACGAUCCCUAGCUGGUCUGAGAGGAGGACAAUCCACACUGGAAAUGAGAAACGGUCCAGACUCCUACGGGAGGAAGCAGUGGGGAAUAUUGCACAAUGGGCGAAAGCCUGAUGCAGCCAUGCGGCGUGGAUGAAGAAGGCCUGCGGGUUGUAAAGUACUUUCAGCGGGGAGGCGUUACCCGCAGAAGAAGCACCGGCUAACUCCGUGCCAGCAGCCGCGGUAAUUC